GGGGGCUUCUGUCCGCACGUGAGGGGCACAUGCACAUGUGACCCGCCAUGAAUACGUCCCCUGCAGACGGGGACACUGAGCCGGCUGUCAGUCCAAACAGUCGCACAACUGGAGGCAACAACAAGUCGGCCAGAAAACUCUACUGAUUCUGUUCAGACUUCAUUCUUUAACUAUCCCCACUUUCUUUGUGCAGCAUCAGGAUUUGCUCCUCUGACGUGUGUGUUUUCCAGCAGUGGGUCUAAGCCUCCUUUGUAGUUGACACAUCUUUUUCCUUCAACUGUGUUCACUCCUCCGUGUCCAUUCAAACACGUCCUCGUCUCUCCGUCUUACGGCCGACUGCGUCAAUGACUUCGGUCCCUGAUGGAUUAAAACAUGGACGCUGCACACGUGGAAAUGCUAGCAGGCGCUUUUGUGUCCAUCGUUCAGGCUCACGGUCCCAGAAUGCACUGCGCACUGCCGUCCCAGCGGCUGUUGGCAUCACUGAAUACAAAGGAGUUCAGAAUGAAGAGAUCCUGAAGGAUGAGCUGCCGGUCCUUGGUGCCCCGGACACCAUGGAGAAGACUGCCAGCAGGUCACACACACACACACACACACACACACACACACACACACACACACACAGCGGCCUUUGCUUCAUGUAAAUGUAUCAUUCACAUGCCAAAUGAAGCUGUGAUGAAGGGAAACGUGGAAGAGGAGCUUUGCUUGCUGCCUUUGCUAAACAGAUGGUGUCCUUUACUUUAAGUUUUACUCGCCACACAUAGAACAGGCUUUACACUUCCUUUCAUGGCGUUCUAGCCAAUUGUUUAGAAUGUGCUUUGAGACGGGACUUCAACCCACAAUCUACGUCCACUGAGUGAGACAGAACCCAGUUAGAAAAGAGCGCUGCAGCUUUCUUUGCAGUGACAUUAACUGUGAAACUGCUGAUUUGACUUUGACAUUACCAACUGCACUGCCAUGUAAUAUGGGCGCACGUAUUAUACAGCCCAGAUUGUGCUAAUCACUCCCAAACCAUCUGUGGGAGAUAUAUUCUACCUAUAGAUUAUACAGCUCCCCAGUCCAGCGUUUGGGACGGUCUGAAUGGAGGGCAGAUGCUGCUGGGCCUCUAUGUGUUGCAGGUUGUCUUGUGAAGCAGCUGGAAAGGGUGGAGGCAUCUGUGGUGGAGCUGAAGAGAAACCUGGACUACGCCGCCUCAGUCCUAGAAGCUCUGUGCAUUGAGGAAGCCAGGCGAGAGAUUUCACUUCUGCUUUUCUCAAAUAAUCCAUGAACAUGAAGAAAAAGGGAUUUUAAAAUGAUUUUCUUGAAUUCUUUCACGAUCGGCAGCUAAAUAGACCUUUGAGCAGAGGUGGAGGAGCACGUAGAGAAAUGGCCAAACGCAAACGUUUGUCUUAAAAAACAAACCUGUGGAGCAGAGGAGUCCACAAAAGGUACAACAAUCCAAAGAAUCCAAGGGGAAACAUUGAAGUGUAAAAGCAGAAAGCAGGGUGAGGUUCAGGUUAACACAUCAUCCUCAUGCACGCAGGACUUUAUGGACACAAAGGGUUUCUUCCCGUCGGCAGUCGGCUCAUCAACAGAGCGCGGCUCCCCCAGCGUUUAAUGGCACACGGUACUGGGCCAUUCCAGUAGCACGGUGGCUUCCUCACUCAUUUAUAAAUCACAACGGGAUCAUUUACACACAAGCUACGUCGUCUUAAGCAUUUUGAAGCUAAAGUAAAGCACUCUAAAUAUCUUAAGACUAUAUUAACUGCAAUACCCCGUAAAUUGGUGAAAGGCAAUUAAAUAUUGUAUGUUAGUAAGUAAGAUCGUCCAUGGAUGAUGAAUAAAUUACAAUUACAUUAUCAUUCAUUCAUAUUAUUUUACUACUAAUUAGUAUUUAAAUGAUUCCAUUAAGUCUGUGUGUAUGUUUUAGUAAUAUAUUUAAUUUAACGAGUAACUCGUGGCUCAAUACGGUUUCCAAGUUUCUAACCCAGAAUUGUUUAAAUUCUUGCUGCACAAUGUUGCGAGCCUUAUUCCUUAUAGGACAGUGGGACCCUGCACAUGAAUACAGAAGACCAGCAGGCAGUUACUAGUUAGUUACACAAAAGAUGGCCGACCUGAAGGCGGCUGGUGGAUCCAGAGGACCAGCUGGGUGACAUCCGGUCGGACUCGGUGCCGUCAGAGGUUCGGGACUGGCUGGCUUCCACUUUCAC